rnacentral:rRNA from 1 species
UACGAAGGGGGGCUAGCGUUGCUCGGAAUUACUGGGCGUAAAGCGCACGUAGGCGGUCUUUUAAGUCGGGGGUGAAAUCCUGGAGCUCAACUCCAGAACUGCCUUCGAUACUGGAAGACUUGGAGUCCGGGAGAGGUGGAGUGGGAACUGCGAGUGUAGAGGUGAAAAUUCGUAGAUAUUCGCAAGAACACCAGUGGCGAAGGCGCUCACUGGCCCGGUACUGACGCUGAGGUGCGGAAAGCGUGGGGAGCAAACAGGGAUUAAGAAA